rnacentral:tRNA from 1 species
CCAUGGCUCAGUCGGUAGAGCGACGCAUUCGUAAUGCGUAGGUCGCCGGUUCAAGUCCGGCUG